rnacentral:rRNA from 1 species
GACGAACGCUGGCGGCGUGCUUAACACAUGCAAGUCGAACGGAAAGGCCCUGCUCUUGCGGGGUGCUCGUGUGCCGAACGCGGGAGUAUCACGCGUGUAACCUGUCCUUGUCUUUGGGAUAACUUCAGGGAACUGGGGCUCAUAUCGGAUAGGAGCUCCUGCUGCAUGGUGUGGGUUGGAAAGUUUCGGCGGUUGGGGCUGGACUCGAGGCUUAUCCGCUUGAUGGUGGGGUAGUGGCUUACCAAGGCUUUGACGGGUAGCCGGCCUGAGAGGGUGGCCGGCCACAUUGGGACUGAGAUACGGACCAGACUGCAACGGGAGGCAGUAGUGGGGAAUAUUGCACAGUGGGCGGAAGCCUGAUGCAGCAACGCCGCGUGCGGAAUGACGGCCUUCGAGUUGUAAACCGCUGUCGCCGGUGACGAAGCGUGAGUGACGGUAAUGGGUAAAGAAGCACCGGCUAACUACGUG